GACAGAGGGUGCAAGCGUUGUUCGGAAUUAUUGGGCGUAAAGAGCUCGUAGGCGGUCUGUCACGUCGGAUGUGAAAGCCCGGGGCUUAACCCCGGGUCUGCAUUCGAUACGGGCAGACUAGAGUGUGGUAGGGGAGAUCGGAAUUCCUGGUGUAGCGGUGAAAUGCGCAGAUAUCAGGAGGAACACCGGUGGCGAAGGCGGAUCUCUGGGCCAUUACUGACGCUGAGGAGCGAAAGCGUGGGGAGCGAACAGG
rnacentral:rRNA from 1 species